GAUGAACGCUGGCGGCGUGCCUAAUACAUGCAAGUCGAGCGAACAGACGAGGAGCUUGCUCCUCUGACGUUAGCGGCGGACGGGUGAGUAACAAGUGGAUAACCUACCUAUAAGACUGGGAUAACUUCGGGAAACCGGAGCUAAUAACGGAUAAUAUAUUGAACCGCAUGGUUCAAUAGUGAAAGACGGUUUUGCUGUCACUUGUAGAUGGAUCCACGCCGCAUUAGCUAGUUGGUAAGGUAACGGCUUACCAAGGCAACGAUGCGUAGCCGACCUGAGAGGGUGGUCGGCCACACUGGAACUGAGACACGGCCCAGACUCCUACUGGAGGCAGCAGUAGGGAAUCUUCCUCAAUGGGCGAAAGCCUGACGGAGCAACGCCGCGUGAGUGAUGAAGGUCUUCGUAUCGUAAAACUCUUUUAUUAGGGAAGAACAAAUGUGUAAGUAACUAUGCACGUCUUGACGGUACCUAAUCAGAAAGCCACGGCUAACUACGUG
rnacentral:rRNA from 1 species